rnacentral:rRNA from 1 species
CCUACGGGAGGCUGCAGUGGGGAAUAUUGGACAAUGGGCGAAAGCCUGAUCCAGCCAUGCCGCGUGUGUGAAGAAGGCCUUCGGGUUGUAAAGCACUUUCAGUGGGGAAGAAAGCCUUGGGGCUAAUACCCUCGAGGAAGGACAUCACCCACAGAAGAAGCACCGGCUAGCUCCGUGCCAGCAGCCGCGGUAAUACGGAGGGUGCGAGCGUUAAUCGGAAUUACUGGGCGUAAAGCGCGCGUAGGCGGUCUGAUAAGCCGGUUGUGAAAGCCCCGGGCUCAACCUGGGAACGGCAUCCGGAACUGUCAGGCUAGAGUGCAGGAGAGGAAGGUAGAAUUCCCGGUGUAGCGGUGAAAUGCGUAGAGAUCGGGAGGAAUACCAGUGGCGAAGGCGGCCUUCUGGACUGACACUGACGCUGAGGUGCGAAAGCGUGGGUAGCAAACAGGAUUAGAUACCCUAGUAGUC